rnacentral:rRNA from 1 species
CCUACGGGUGGCAGCAGUGAGGAAUAUUGGUCAAUGGACGAGAGUCUGAACCAGCCAAGUAGCGUGAAGGAUGACUGCCCUAUGGGUUGUAAACUUCUUUUAUAUGGGAAUAAAAUGUUCCACGUGUGGGCUUUUGUAUGUACCAUAUGAAUAAGGAUCGGCUAACUCCGUGCCAGCAGCCGCGGUAAUACGGAGGAUCCGAGCGUUAUCCGGAUUUAUUGGGUUUAAAGGGAGCGUAGGUGGAUUGUUAAGUCAGUUGUGAAAGUUUGCGGCUUAACCGGAGAAUUGCAGUUGAAACUGGCAGUCUUGAGGACAGUAGAGGUAGGCGGAAUGCGUGGUGUAGCGGUGAAAUGCUUAGAGAUCACGAAGAACUCCGAUUGCGAAGGCAGCUCACUGGACUGCAACUGACGCUGAGGCUCGAAAGUGUGGGUAUCAAACAGGAUUAGAUACCCCUGUAGUC